AAUCAACGCUGGCGGCGUGCCUAACACAUGCAAGUCGAACGCGAAAAGGGGCAACCCUGAGUAGAGUGGCGUCCGGGUGAGUAACACGUGGAUAAUCUGCCUGCGGGCGGGGAAUAACGUUUCCGAAAGGGGAGCUAAUACCGCAUAACACCGCAAUGGGGCAUCCUGAGACGGUCAAAGAGGGGGAUCGCAAGACCUCUCGCCUGCAGAGGAGUCCGCGGCCGAUUAGCAGUUGGCGAGGUAACGGCUCACCAAGGCGGCGAUCGGUAGCCGGCCUGAGAGGGCGAACGGCCACACUGGCACUGAAAUACGGGCCAGACUCCUACGGGAGGCAGCAGGUGGGGAAUUUUGGGCAAUGGCCGAAAGGCUGA
rnacentral:rRNA from 1 species